GUGGCUACUACAAAAUACUGGACAUACCCCAUUUUGAAUACCGUGGGUUGUCUACUUUUACAAAUGGUAUGCCAUGAUGAGGUUAAUUUUCAUUCCUGGGCUGCUAUACGGUCUCAAAGGCAAAAUAGGCUUAGCAAACCAAUCUGGCAAAUUUCAACUUAUAUACUUUUCAAAAAUAUAUGGUUUGAUGGGGUAAAUUACAUUGGCUGGCUUCAAAAAUGUCCCAAAUAGGACAUGGGUGCAUGAUGACCAGCUGUGAAAAUUCCAAGUUGGAAAACUGGAAUGCCCACCCUCCAAGUAAGGUCUUUUAGCCCCCAGAGAACCUGACACACCUAUAUAUAUAGGGUAUCACUGUAGUCAGGAGAUUUUGCUGAACACAUAUUGGGGUGUUCCUUGGCAGUAACCCUUAAAGUUCUCAGUACAUGUAUUCUUAAAUUGCUAUGUGUGUCAAAAAAAAUCACCAAUUAUUAAAAAUGUUGAUAUUUGGCAUAGAUUGGUGGUAAAAUGGUUGCAUGAAAAGAGUCAAAAUACCCCAAGUUUAAUACCUUAGGUUGUCUUCUUUUAAAAAAUAUAUACAUGUGAAGGGUUAUUCAGGGAUUCCUGACAGAUAUCAGUGUUACAAUGUAACUUGCGUUUAUCUUUGAAAAAAAUGGUUUGGAAAUAGCAAAGUGCUACUUGUACUUAUAGCCCUAUAACUUUCCAAAAAAGAACAUGUUAACAUUGGUAUUUCUAAACUCUGGGCAAAAUUUAGAAACUAUUUAGCACAAGUGUUUUUUGGCGGCUGCAGAUGCAUAACAAAUUUU